CAAAGUGCUUACAGUGCAGGUAGUCUUACAAUAUCUACUGCAGUGAAGGCACUUUCAG
ensembl:miRNA gmo-mir-17-2 gmo-mir-17-2